rnacentral:misc_RNA from 1 species
CCGGGAGCAACAGGGCCGUUCCUGCCGGUCUCCACGGUCUUGCCUGCGCGGUAACGCCUCCCAUGGCUAUUAACUACUCUGGUAAAAUCGUAGACGGGCGGCGUGUUAGCACCCGGGAACGGGGGAUCACCGCGAUGAUCCGCGACAGAUCCUGACUACGCAGCCGAGUUGCAGACUGACACGAUCGGCCUCUGGGAUUAAUCGGUUCCUCUGUCUCUGACCGGGCGACGUGCGGGAUCCUUACCCAUAAGGCCAUGAGGACUUGACGUCAUCCCCACCUUCCUCCGCAGCCACCGGCGCAGAGCGCUCCUUUCGUAGCAACCAUCGACAAGGGCCGCGCUCGCCGCGAUUCAACAUCUCACGACACGAACUGACGAUUGCUCAUGCAGCACCUGUCCUGAAUUUUGAUAUUAACUCCCACUUUCUUUCGGGGAUCUGCGACAUGUCAUAAAUAGUGUUUUUGUGCCAAACCACAUCAUCCGUCGCUUGCGCGGGAACCCGUCAAUUUCUUUGAGUUAAUCUGCGACCGUACUCACGCGUUAGCCGCGCUAUCAGCGCUCCCGAGCAGCUCCAACAGCAGCUGAUAUCGUUUAGGGCGUAAUCUAAUCCUGCUAUCGCUUCACGCUGCGCAUGACCAGGUUGCCUUCGCCAUCGGUAACCGCAUAUCUACGCACUGCCGCUGACGCGGAAAUUCCACUUCACCCUAGCUCGGCAGUUGUCGCACUCCAGCUAAAUCUACCACAUUUUGUCUUCUUUCUGACUGUUUCGCGCAUGCCCAAAGGGAUUACAAUCCCAUUGUGCCGGCAAAUGCUGGCACGUAGUUAGCCGGUGCGGUACUGUCACAUCCCGCGCCGUUUUUCGCGUUUUUAUAACCCGAAGGGGCUUCAUCGCACUAACGGCGGGAUGAAGCUGGAUCAGGUCACAUCGUCUAGCCGUCUCGUCCCAGCUGGUCGUCCUCUCAAACCAGUUACGGAUCGUCAGUUGCUACCCCACUACUCGGGCUAUUGUAUUUCCGCCCACAUUUAUAAAAAAAUCACUCGGCUACGUAUGCGGUAGCUAGCUGUAGUUAGUCCCCGUUAUUAGGCACGUCUGAUACAUUAUCAGCCUACCUGCACACCAGAGGCGCUGCCGCCUGACUUGCAUGGGAACACACGCUAUAUAAUCGUCAACAAACCCGAGGCUUCAGCAACGCUGGCGGGAUGCUUUACACAUGCAAGUCGAACGGCAGCACGGACUUCGGUCUGGUGGCGAGUGGCGAACGGGUGAGUAAUGUAUCGGAACGUGCCUAGUAGCGGGGGAUAACUACGCCGCGAAAGCGUAGCUAAUACCGCAUACGCCCUUCGGGAAAGCGGGGACCUUCGGGCCUCGCACUAGAGCGGCCGAUAUCGGAUUAGCUAGUUGGUGGGGUAACGGCUCACCAAGGCGACGAUCCGUAGCUGGUUUGAGAGGACGACCAGCCACACUGGGACUGAGACACGGCCCAGACUCCUACGGGAGGCAGCAGUGGGGAAUUUUGGACAAUGGGGGAAACCCUGAUCCAGCCAUCCCGCGUGCGAUGAAGGCCUUCGGGUUGUAAAGCACUUUUGGCAGGAAGAAACGGCACGGGAUAAUACCCUGCCAGGUAACUGACGGUACCUGCAGAAUAAGCACCGGCUAACUACGUGCCAGCAGCCGCGGUAAUACGUAGGUGCAAGCGUUAAUCGGAAUUACUGGGCGUAAAAGCGUGCGCAGGCGGUUCGGAAAAAGAAAGAUGUGAAAUCCCAGAGCUUAACUUUGGAACUGCAUUUUUAACUACCGAGCUAGAGUGUGUCAGAGGGAGGUGGAAUUCCGCGUGUAGCAGUGAAAUGCGUAGAUAUGCGAGGAACACCGAUGGCGAAGGCAGCCCCUGGGAUAACACUGACGCUCAUGCACGAAAGCGUGGGGAGCAAACAGGAUUAGAUACUCCUGGUAGUCCACGCCCUAAACGAUGUCAACUAGCUGUUGGGGCCUUCGGGCCUGGUAGCGCAGCUAACGCGUGAAGUUGACCGCCUGGGGAGUACGGUCGCAAGAUUAAAACUCAAAGGAAUUGACGGGGACCCGCACAAGCGGUGGAUGAUGUGGAUUAAUUCGAUGCAACGCGAAACCUUACCUACCCUUGACAUGUCUGGAAUCCCGAAGAGAUUUGGGAGUGCUCGCAAGAGAACCGGAACACAGGUGCUGCAGGCAUGGCUGUCGUCAGCUCGUGUCGUGAGAUGUUGGGUUAAGUCCCGCAACGAGCGCAACCCUUGUCAUUAGUUGCUACGAAAGGGCACUCUAAUGAGACUGCCGGUGACAAACCGAGGAAGGUGGGGAUGACGUCAAGUCCUCAUGGCCCUUAUGGGUAGGGCUUCACACGUCAUACAAUGGUCGGGACAGAGGGUCGCCAACCCGCGAGGGGGAGCCAAUCCCAGAAACCCGAUCGUAGUCCGGAUCGCAGUCUGCAACUCGACCGCGGAAGUCGGAAUCGCUAGUAAUCGCGGAUCAGCAUGUCGCGGUGAAUACGUUCCCGGGUCUUGUACACACCGCCCGUCACACCAUGGGAGUGGGUUUUACCAGAAGUAGUUAGCCUAACCGUAAGGAGGGCGAUUACCACGGUAGGAUUCAUGACUGGGGUGAAGUCGUAACAAGGUAA